ACAGCAGUCGCCGCGGUAAUACGGAGGGUGCAAGCGUUAAUCGGAAUUACUGGGCGUAAAGCGUGCGUAGGCGGUUCGUUAAGUCUGUUGUGAAAGCCCCGGGCUCAACCUGGGAAUGGCAAUGGAUACUGGCGAGCUAGAGUGUGUCAGAGGAUGGUGGAAUUCCCGGUGUAGCGGUGAAAUGCGUAGAGAUCGGGAGGAACAUCAGUGGCGAAGGCGGCCAUCUGGGACAACACUGACGCUGAGGCACGAAAGCGCGGGGAGCAAACAGGAUUAGAUACCCCGGUAGUCCCUGUCUCUUAUAC
rnacentral:rRNA from 1 species